AGCCCUGUGGUGAAAUGGCUUACACGUGGAGUAUCUUUACGAUUUAAUGACAUCCAAGUAUAUUUGCAAGGUCAUAGUUCGAAUCUGUGCAGGGCUG